rnacentral:lncRNA from 12 species
AUGAAAACCAAAACCCCUAAACCCCCUAAACUUCAGAGAUGAAGAUAAAGUUUUCUUAUUCCUGCGUCCCAUAAAAUAGCUAAGCUUUCCCCCCCAAUAUCACUGCAACCUAAGUCACUCAUUUACUGUGGAGACUGCUCCUUUGCCUAUCCCCAGGUUUAGCAGGUGCACUUGUCUCACAAGUAAAGCAGGGAUUAUAUGUCUCUUUAAAGUUUAGUGAAACCUCUGUGAAAAUACAGCAGAGGAAGAGUAAGGCACCACAAAGGCACAAUGAGGAAUAAGGAGAAAACAUGUGCAAAGCAGUGCUUCAAAGACAAAAGGGAGAGGAGAAAGAAGAGGAGGAGAAGGAGGAGGAGGGCGGCAGGAGGGGCUGCAAACCCAGACCAGGGAUCACUGUCAGCCCUGUAGAUUCAGAAUUUAUUUGCUUUGCACUGAGAAUUAGAAAGGCUUCAGAGGAGGACAAUAGCUGAAAUUGACCUUAUUUCUCAAAAAGAAGAGAGUGAAAAGUCUGGAACAGUUUAUGAAAUGAAACAAAGGACCCACGAGGCAUAAUAAUAAUAACAAGAAGAACAUAACAUUUUAAAAUAAAUAUUGAUCUAGAAGAGGCAGAUGGAGAAGGUCUCUUCCACAUGUUUUUGAAUGUAUGAGAAGGAUAUUUAAUAGUUACAAAAUGGCAAUUUCAGAGCAACUAAAAAAGCAAAAAACUCAACAAGGUAGAAUGCAGAAUAAUUUG